AUAGGGGUCACGGACCCACUUACACACACGCAUAAAGAAACGUAAAAAAUACCAUCUGAUUAUGUUUUUUUUUUCAUGGUCAGCCCCGGCCCCCAUAACAAAAAACCCUCUGUAUUCCGUAUCUUGUUUGUGCUUUUGCAGACACUGUAUACCACAUAACAAAACAGAAUCCUUCUCGGUAUUUUAACUUGGGACACCAAUUCCGGCUGAAGAUCUUGCUGAUAUGUUUCUAAUUUUGUAACCACUUUGACUUUAAUGAUGGGAGACGAUAGUCGACCAAGGAGGAUAUUGGCGGAUCUAAGCAGUGCUCUUCGUCGAGAUCCUAAAAUUGAUGAGUUUGACUUCAUCUAUUGUCCUGAACCCGUAGUUAAUAGAAGUCCUGUUGUGCUCGAGAAUCAUAAGCUGGGGCUGCAAACAUGGAGCAUUAAUCUCCUCUUCAAAUUUGUCUACAGCAACCUAAUGAAGAAGAGUACAACAGUUAAAGAUUUGAAGUCUGUGCAUGAAUUCAGCUGUGCUGUGCUUUUACUCAAUCCAGAUUGUUACACAGUAUGGAAUUUACGGAAGGAACUGGUCAUGAAACGUUACAUUAAAGCAGAGGAUGACUUGAGAUUGGCAACUAUAAUCCAAACUAAACAUCCAAAAAGCCCAGAAACUUUCAUUCAAAGGAGGUGGCUGUUGCUGCAGCUGUUCCCUUCAUCAUCCUCAUCUUCCAGACACACGCAACAAAGUCAUUGUCACAACUCAACAGCACAACAUGCCAACGGUAACUUCUUCCACAACCAGCAACACUCUAACAGUAAUAGAGGGCACGCCCCUGGAAGUUCAGUCAACCAUAGUGAGCUCACAGAGAGACAGAGGCAGGCGAUAGAGCGUGAGAUGGAUGCAUGCAGAGCAGCCGCCGAUCGCUAUCCCAGUAAUUAUAAUGCAUGGAGCCAUAGGAUAUGGGUGCUCAAGGAAAUAGCCAGAUUAAAUACAGGGGUGUUGCUGAAGGAACUUGAAUGUACCAAUUCCUGGGUAAAACAACACAUCUCAGAUCACAGUGGAUUCAACUAUAGAUAUUUCCUCCUCAAGAAUUUAUCUUGUAAUCACCCUUAUGAAGAUCUACUGAGGAUCCUCCAUGCUGAGCUGCUUUUCACAUCAAACCUCAUACAGAAUUUUCCUGGUCAUGAAGCAAUCUGGUACCACAGGAGAGCAAUCUUGACUCUGGGGAGAGAAUGUUUGAAGGGAGGACAGUGCCAAGUGUCACAGAACAUAGACUUUCCUGUGAAGGUAGAGAGUCCUAAUGGUGAGAUGUGCCAAGAUAUAUCAGAUACUGAACCUUUGGUGCAGGAGGAGACGGAAUGGCUCCUCCUCAAAGACUUCUCAAGUGCUAGUGCUUUCACUUGUCCCAAGACAUUGUCAACGUCGGCCACCCCGAAGGCAGAUACCGUGGCCCAUGCCGAGUAUGCUGCCUAUGAACGGGCCAUCAGCUGUGCUGAUCAGGACACCCAGGCUGCGUUGGCUCUGUUACUAUGCAAGGAAAACCUUUUCAUGGAGUCGUUACUCAAGAAGAGCUUCAGAGCAGACAAACCGCAGUUGCAGAGGUGUAUCAAUAGCCACAAGAGAUGGCUAGGUCAUGUGCAAUUCUAGAUAUUUAUUAUUUCUAGCAUUUCUCCUUAAGCAUAUACAAUAAGUUAUAUUAGAUUAAGACUAUUUAUAACAUAAUGUGUAAUUGUAGGUGAUCAAAAGGGAGAAAUACAAUCCUGAAAUAAACUUUAUCGUAGUCUAUUACAAAUUCUAUAUAGAUUAUAAAGAAUUUUAUAAUAACCUUUAUUCUGUUUGUGGGUCUUUCCAUGAAGUUGGGGCACAAGUAUGUGAAAUUUCAGCAUAACUCAAUAUGAAAUUUUCACGAUACUCAAUACUAAUUCUAUACAUUUAUUGUUGUAUGCAUUUCUUUUGUAUUAAGACAAUUCAUUGACUGGAAAUUUUGGGCCAUUUAGACUCAUAUCUUGUGAAGUCACUGAGCAAAACAGUGUAUACUGCUGUUAAAGGCAUACAGUGUCCAAGUAGCACUAGGAUAUUUACAUUUUGUCAUUGAAGUCGGGUAAAUACCUCUAUGCAUAGUUCUAUUUUUAAAAGAAAGUAAAGAAUUUGUCAUAGUGUCCAUGAGACACCAGGAAAUGUCACAUUUGGUGGACACCGAGACGUAUGGUGACAAUUCUUAAAUUUCCUUUAAUAAACAACAGAACUAUGCAAAGGAAAUCUGAGGUAUUUAGCGACCUGACUUAACAAGUUAAUUUACGUAUUGUACAAAUUUUUGGUCAACCUAAUUGCCAUGAUUUGACUUUUAUAUCCCAUUGCUACACAGACACUGUCCAUGUACAUGUAAAAGGAUUAUACACUGUUUUGCUCAAUAACUUCAUAUAAAUAUGAGUGUAAAUGGCCUGAAAUUUCUAGUAAAAUGUGUGGUCUUAAUACAAAUGUAAAGCCAUUAAACAAUAAAUGUAUAGUAUGCAUCAUGUAAUUAGUAUUGACUUAUGCUGAAAUGUCACAAUUUGUGCCCCAACUUCAUGUAAAAACCUUGUGGUCAAUCAUAUUUCAUAGGCUCUCUAUUUCUUUCUCUCCUGUCUCAUUCAUUAUCUAUCUAUUGAAUUCUUUUCCUUUUAUAUCUUAAUUAUUUCUAUUUGUUGGUGAUCUCUUGUUGAUAGAAUCUAAUGUAUAUUAAUUGUCAAUAGAUCAGUAAUACAGAAACAAGAACAUGCUUGCCCCAUAUUCGUCUGUCUUCCUCCGACUUGUGUCCAUAUUUGAUCCCUAUGCACCAACACACUUAAUAAGUUGUCUCCACAUAGUAAAUUCUGCUCAGGGCUGCAUUGUUGUAUUCCAUAUUGUUUUGCAAAUAGUAGUUUUGCCUUAUUUUUGCCAUGGGUAUGGCCCUAGUGUGAACAGCAUUGCCUUAUUUGAAUUAAAAAGUUAUUUUCUUGUCUCACUGCCAAUAAUUCUAUAUAGCACAUGUGUAUUUCAUGUAGGAGGUUUCAUUCGGACUUAUGAAUUAGAUCUGUAAGUUAAUGUAAUUAGCUAUGACCUCUACAACCAAGUCUGGCUCACACCUUUGCAUUCUUAACUUGUAUUCAGCUGCGUAUCGUUCAAACACAAGACAAUCUCAGCAAAAGGCAGCACAAUGCCAUGAAACGAGCUAAUAUGAGGCCAUUACGCAGACUAGCUCAACAAUUUGAUUUUUUCAAACAUCCGAAACUGACCGCAUUCAAAAUCAUACAUUCAAAUAAGAGUGGCAACAAGUGAAUGUGAGCAACAGAGAGCUGCUUACGCAUAGGCCAAUGCAGCGAUACUGCUCGAUCUAAACUCGACUUACCUUGCUUUACCCCGAAUCACUUCAGCUUUACUGCGUGCAAAUCUAUACAGGCUCACAAAAGGAAGUACGCGAAAGUGUGAUCGACACCGAAUAUUUUGCUGUGUAGUAUGCUGCAUAAGACUGCGUAAUGCAGCUAAAGACAAAGAGGUGUGAGCCAGGCUUUAACCUUGCAACCCCAAAAUCACAUGGAUAUGAGUGCGCUUUAGGCUACUAAUACACUUGCAGAAAAUAAACAAGAUAAGGAUGAUCUGCAAUGUUAGAAUGGACUUGUUUAGUACCCGGUUUUGCUGGAGUAGGAAAUACUGGUAGUAAAUACGAUUACCGCUUCAAUAUUUUUUAAAAUGAAAAUGGGGAAUAGUUUGAAAUGCAGAGAAAUACUACAAAAUAUACUUCUGGAAUUUUUUCAGGUAUUGCCUAGGUGCUUCUCAAGCAUAUUCUAGCAUCUCCCUGAACAUCUUAAGUACAUCCCAGCAUUUACAGGUUUUCCCCAAUACUUCCCACCUGGCCGGCAAAUACCUUAGAUUGCCCACCCUGCUUGUUACUAACCUCCAAGAAAUAUAUUAUGCUAGAAAGGGUCAUAAGAAUGAACGACAGGGUUUUAUUUUUAAUUUUAUCAGCAUUACAGUGUUCAUCUAGUAUUUAAUUAUAUAGUCUCAUCUUCCGCUUGGUGCUCCAAUUGUUGUUGUUUUGCAAAUUUAUGUUUGUUGCUUUUAAGAUAAACAGUAAUAGAAAUAAACAGUUGACUGAUAGGAUUAAAGUUUGGAUGUGCUUUUGUGUGUGAUGAUGACGAUGAUGAUGUUUCUGGGUGGGUGUGUUUGUGUGUGAGUGUGCAUAUUUUUUUUUUCUUCAUCUGAUGUUUACAUGUAUUAAUAAAUGUAUAUUUUGGAGGGUUCUUAUUUUAAAAUGAUAUCUUUUUGUUGCCCUCCUCAUCUUGUAACGAUACUUUUAUAUAUGAACGUACAAUUUGAUGAUGUUUUCAAUGAUUAUUAAGAAUAAAUUUCAUUUGAAUUGAAUUGAUUAUCUUUAUGGGAAAAAUGGAUUCAUUACAUGAACCAAGCUAAUGAAGGAAGUAACCGUUAUAAAACCUGCAGACAAGAUUAAUUGGUAAGAUUGGGGGGGGGGGGGCAAUAAACUAUAAGCUUGUGUACACAUCGUUACCCAUAGGGUUUCAAAACCACCUGCAUUUUUGUCUUGCCUGAAUGAAGUUUGUCAGAGACCUAGUAAUCACUUUUCCUGUUGGAAAACUUUUAAAUUUUUGUUCAACUUGCUCUCAUUUCUCUAUUUCUUCAUCAAUUAUGAUCACACUUUGUACAUGUGACCCUUGGGUAGUAUCACAUGUGUGAGAAUGAUGGGGUCAGAGGUCAUCUAGAGGUCAAAAGAUCAUAUUGCAUAUUUUAUUGAUCGCAAAAUCAGGUGAGACUUGUGGUUUGCGAACCAUCUUGUAUAUUUCAUUGGUCAAAUAUAGGCCUAACGUGUCAACAUAAUUCAAGUUUUCAUAUGAAUGAGACCCCCCUGAAAGCUACCGGUAAUCAAAGAAUAUUUAUAGUCACACCACGGGUAGCCCCUGAACAAUAUCCCUUUUAGUAGAUAAAGAAUAUUUGUAGUCGCACCACGGGUAGCCCCUGAACAAUAUCCCUUUUAGUAGAUAAGAAUAUUUGUAGUCGCACCACAGGUACCCCCUGAACAAUAUCCCUUUUAGUAGGUUAUCAAUGAAUAUUUAUAAUCGCACCACAGAUUUUGGUUUGAAACCACCUACUUCGUUUUAUACUUAUAAAUUUUGCCAUUAUGCACUACCUUUAAUUUUGUUUAUAUAUAUUUCCGAAGCAUAAUGUGGAUAUAAUUAACAAAAUCGCAUUAAUAUGUAGUGGAAGUACAUGUUAAUUUAAUAUAUUGCCAACAAAUAUGAGUAAAUCAUAUAUCAUGACAAUCAAAAUUAUUUUAAAUAAUAAAAGUAAAGUUUUAAAAAAAAGUUAAGACUAUAUUAUAAGUUCUUAUGAAUUGUAGUAUUAAUGAUGGUUUGUGCAAUUAUAUCUUUAUUCAAAUUCAAAUAUAUGUGAAAUGUCAGACUGAAUUGUUAUUUUUCACUUGUAGUUUUGGAGAACAUGAUCACUGGAUUCAUAUGAAUUUAAUAGCAGAUGUAAUUCAGUGAAAGAUUAUAGGCCUACAUGUAUAUCUUUAUAUCUUGUACUGCUUUGCUGGUAGUUCUGAUUGCCUGAGUAUAUAUUACCUGACAUUAUGGGGUAAAUUGUGUCAUAUAGUUCUGUUACUAUAUACUGUUUGUACAUGUAAUAGUUUACUGUGAUUGAUGAUGGUUAUCUUAUACCCACACAAUUCUUUAUGCUAUAUUUUUGUUAUGUUCAUGUUUAUCACGUUUGCCUAGUUUAGAUCUGUACUGACCGCACAGAAACGUUAGCGCUAACAAUGUGCUAACAGGACCUGUUACAACCGGUAAUGUUGCAGCGAUUCCUAAUGUUACAACAAUGCAUUACUUACACAUUAAAAUAAAUGUUUUGACUUCACCAUCUGAAAGAUGUGACUGGGCUUACUGUUAGCGCUCUGUUAGGCUUACAACGUUUCUGUGUAGCUGGCACUGGAUGUUAGUAGUUAUUUGUUCAUAAAACCUUGAAGGAAAGUGAAAAGACAGAGGCUAGGCAUAUAGGUGUAUAUGCAAUGAGUGAGUGCAGGGUUUUCCGAACAAAUUACUGCCAACCUCCAGAUCUAGACUGACGUUUGCCUAAAAAGUGGUACAUCAUGGGAUUAAAAAAAAAAAAUUUACCAUCGCUCUGAAGUUUUUUGGGGUUUUGCUGAAUUUUUUUAACGGCUUCUGAUCAAUGACAGCCUCCUUAGAUUUCUAAUUGUCAUCGAUCACCAUGCCAAUUUUAUUUACAUUUUGAAAAUCUGAUUUGGCAAUCAAGGGGCCCAUCACGAAUGUUCAUCCCAUCUUUUAAGAGUUGUCUGAAGUUUCUUCAGUUUGGUCUAUGGUGGUGAUAAAUGUGAACAUAGCAGAUAUAUAGCAUUGAAAGAAAAUGAUUAUGAUAUAUACCAUUCAUAAAACACUGUCUAGUUGCAUAUUUUAUGGCACACUAUAUAUUACCAUAAAUUGUUAUUAGAAAUGAACAUCCAAAACUCAAUGGUAGUACUGGCUUAAUGUUAUAUAUGUAAUAGUACCUGUAAGGGAAUCAUUAAACUUACUUGCUAAGGUUUAGAUCUUUAAUAUCUGCAUUGCCCCAUGUGAUAUCUUUGUAUGAAAUUUAUCAAAAAAUAAAAUCCUUAAGAAAAUAA